UCGAGAAUCUUUCGCAAUGCCCGCAAGGGUGACGAAGCGACGCCGCGUGCGGGAAGAAGGCCUUCGGGUUGUAAACCGCUGUCGGGAGUUAGGAAGUGCAAGGAUGUUAAUAGCGUUCUUGCUUGACUAAGGCUCCGGAGGAAGCCACGGCUAACUCUGUGCCAGCAGCCGCGGUAAUACAGAGGCGGCAAGCGUUGUUCGGAAUUAUUGGGCGUAAAGAGCACGUAGGCGGCCGUGUAAGUCGGUUGUGAAAGCCUUCCGCUCAACGGAAGGACGGCAUCCGAUACUGCAUGGCUCGAGUGCGGGAGGGGAGAGUGGAACUUCUGGUGGAGCGGUGAAAUGCGUAGAUAUCAGAAGGAACACCGGCGGCGAAGGCGACUCUCUGGUCCGUAACUGACGCUGAGUGUGCGAAAGCUAGGGGAGCAAACGGGAUUAGAUACCCCGGUAGUCCUAGCCGUAAACGAUGGG
rnacentral:rRNA from 1 species